GUUUCUGUAGUGUAGUGGUCAUCACGUUUGCCUCACAUGCGAAAGGUCCCCAGUUCAAAACUGUGUGGAAACA